UACGUAGGCAGCAAGCGUUGUUCGGAGUUACUGGGCGUAAAGAGUGUGUAGGCGGUUCUCUAAGUUCGGUGUGAAAUCUCCCGGCUCAACUGGGAGGGUGCGCCGGAAACUGGGGGGCUUGAGUAUGGGAGGGGAAAGCGGAAUUCCUGGUGUAGCGGUGAAAUGCGUAGAUAUCAGGAGGAACACCUGCGGUGUAGACGGCUUUCUGGACCAUCACUGACGCUGAGACACGAAAGCGUGGGUAGCAAACAGG
rnacentral:rRNA from 1 species